GACGAACGCUGGCGGCGUGCUUAACACAUGCAAGUCGAACGGAAAGGCCCUGCUUGCAGGGUACUCGAGUGGCGAACGGGUGAGUAACACGUGGGUGAUCUGCCCUGCACUUCGGGAUAAGCCUGGGAAACUGGGUCUAAUACCGGAUAGGAGCCAUUUUUAGUGUGAUGGUUGGAAAGUUUUUUCGGUGUAGGAUGAGCUCGCGGCCUAUCAGCUUGUUGGUGGGGUAAUGGCCUACCAAGGCGGCGACGGGUAGCCGGCCUGAGAGGGUGGACGGCCACAUUGGGACUGAGAUACGGCCCAGACUCCUACGGGAGGCAGCAGUGGGGAAUAUUCACAAUGGGCGCAAGCCUGAUGCAGCGACGCCGCGUGGGGGAUGACGGCCUUCGGGUUGUAAACUCCUUUCGCUAGGGACGAAGCUUUUUGUGACGGUACCUAGAGAAGAAGCACCGGCUAACUACGUG
rnacentral:rRNA from 1 species